rnacentral:rRNA from 1 species
UACGUAGGGGGCAAGCGUUGUCCGGAAUUACUGGGCGUAAAGCGCGUGUAGGCGGUCUGAAUAGUCUGCUGUGAAAGCGCCUGGCUUAACCGGGCGAGGUCGGCGGAAACUCUCAGACUGGAGGCCGGUAGAGGGGGGUGGAAUUCCCGGUGUAGUGGUGAAAUGCGUAGAGAUCGGGAGGAACACCUGUGGCGAAGGCGGCCCCCUGGGCCGCGCCUGACGCUGAGACGCGAAGGCUAGGGGAGCGAACGGG